rnacentral:rRNA from 1 species
UACGUAGGGUGCGAGCGUUGUCCGGAAUUAUUGGGCGUAAAGAGCUCGUAGGCGGUGUGUCACGUCGGCCGUGAAAACCUGCAGCUUAACUGUGGGCGUGCGGUCGAUACGGGCAUCACUGGAGUUCGGCAGGGGAGACUGGAAUUCCUGGUGUAGCGGUGAAAUGCGCAGAUAUCAGGAGGAACACCGGUGGCGAAGGCGGGUCUCUGGGCCUGUACUGACGCUGGAGGAGCGAAAGCGUGGGGAGCGAACAGG